UACGUAGGUGGCAAGCGUUGUCCGGAAUUAUUGAGCGUAAAGCGCGCGCAGGCGGCUAUCCAAGUCAGUGGUGAAAGCCCGGAGCUCAACUCCGGAACUGCCAUUGAAACUGUUUAGCUUGAGGAUGAGAGAGGUGAGUGGAAUUCCCAGUGUAGAGGUGAAAUUCGUAGAUAUUGGGAAGAACACCGGUGGCGAAGGCGGCUCACUGGCUCAUUACUGACGCUCAGGCGCGAUAGCGUGGGGAUCAAACAGG
rnacentral:rRNA from 1 species